UUUGGGGUUUAUUCCUCCUCCUCAGUGACCCUGUGUCAGAUAGAUGACCAACACAUUCAAAGAGACCAUGGUGGAGAGUGUUGUAUCAAGCCUGGACCUGAGAAAUGGAUUCCUCAGAGCUGUAAGACUUGUGACCAUGUUGAGGACUCCACACACUGGCUUCAGAUUGAACCCUUGACUUCCACUGUCCAGGGAGUGACAAUGUUCAGGCACAGGUCACCCAAAGGGCGUUAUGAGUGCACAGUGUCUGGGCUCCGCUGGGUGUGUGAGAGAGAUGUCAUUCUGAAGUAUCUCUUCAGGAACUGGUAUCCCUACAGUCACCUUCUGAUAGACAUGCAGUACGGACAAGGUGGUCCAUUGCUGGACAUCACUAUGGAGUUAGGUGAACUGGAGGAAGUUCAUCUGCCACACUUUGUCUGUUUAGGGACCAACCCUUCCCUGAGGAAUGAGAUGAAGAUUCUUAAUGUAGAGGAACAUGGAGUGUCUGUUGAGGAAGUGCAUGAGGUCACCAGAUUCCAUGCCAAAAUUCUCCAUCCCAAGUUCUCAGUUAUCUCUGUUAUACUGAGCCAUAUCUUUACGCGGAACAUAGAUGUCCACUGUGAGCUGAUGCUCUAUCUGUCAGUGAAAAAGCAAACACUAAUUCCACGUCUAUACCUGUUCCCCAGUAACCCCAGCCAAAUACAGGCUGUGGAACAACAGGAAAAGUCUGAAGGGUCUUCAAGGGUUCUCAUCUCAAGACCAGAGCAGGCCUUCAAACUGAAUAGUUACUUCAGACUGAACAUUCCCUGUUCUACCUACAUCAAUCCACCGAAGAUUCAUCUCAUACAUAGAGACUCCACACCAAGCUUUUUCAGGCGGUUUUGAAAAUGACAGGGGUUGACAUUGAGAUGGAGUUAUUCGGGUGAUGAUGAGAGGAUUGCAUGGAAAGAAGUGGUAUCACAAGAUGAAUACAUCACUGCCACCCAUUCAACAAGUGCUGUGUUGGGGAUAGGGCGUCCGGCUGAGAGCAGUCUGACUGGUUCUGCAGAGCAGCAGCUGCGUUCUGUACGGACAGAGUUUGUGAGACGAGUGUCAGGACCUGUCCUGGAUGGUCUGCUGGACGGACUCCUGCAACACACAGUCAUCAACCAGGAGGAAAUGGAGUCAGUAAAGGUGAUAGCUGAGAGGGCAGAGAAGGCACGUGACAUCAUCGACAUGGUGUUGAGAAAAGGAACUGAGUCAUGUUCCAGGAUGAUCAACCUUCUUGGGGAGCUGGACCCCUAUCUUUGGUCACAGCUUCAGAUCUAAAGUUGUAGCCAACCCCUGGGUGUGGGGAAACCAGGCAGAAUAGACAGGCAGGGUGGUUCAACAUGGUCUUGUUGUCUGUUGCUUUAAUUCAGGCUUCUAAAAAUGUACAGAAAAUGUCAAUCAAACAUGACCACUAUAAUAGCAAUAAACUAACCAAAGGUCCAGCCACACAGCCUCUCUCCUUCUGCAGCCUCCUGGAGGUGUGGAUCUUCUAGCAGGAGGAUCAGUUAGUCCUCCACUAGGUACCUAGCUGGACCCCUAUCUAGCAGGAGGGUCAGUUAGUCCUCCACUAGGUACC